rnacentral:rRNA from 1 species
CUAGAAAUUAAAAAGGUUUGGCGGUAAUAUAGUCUAAUUAGAGGAACCUGGACAAUAAAUGAUAGUCCACAAAUAUCUGACUUAAUUUUGUACCCCAGUUUAUAUAUCGCCGUUUAGAUUUGUUUAAAAGGACGUUUUCUAAAUAAUAUAAUAUAAUAAGAAUUCAGGUCAAGGUGUAGCGUAUAUUUAAGUUGAUGUGGGUUACAAUGAGGGUAUUCAUUAUGGAUUUUAAUUGAAACAUUUAAUGUGAAGGUGGAUUUAAUUGUAAAAUUUUUAUAA